rnacentral:rRNA from 1 species
AAGCGUGCGCAGGCGGUUAUGUAAGACAGAUGUGAAAUCCCCGGGCUCAACCUGGGAACUGCAUUAGUGACUGCAUAGCUGGAGUACGGCAGAGGGGGAUGGAAUUCCGCGUGUAGCAGUGAAAUGCGUAGAUAUGCGGAGGAACACCGAUGGCGAAGGCAAUCCCCUGGGCCUGUACUGACGCUCAUGCACGAAAGCGUGGGGUAGCAAACAGGAUUAGAUACCCUUGU